rnacentral:tRNA from 1 species
AGCUCGUCAGGCUCAUAACCUGAAGGUCGUAGGUUCAAAUCCUACCCCCGCAA